rnacentral:rRNA from 1 species
AGCGAACGCUGGCGGCAGGCCUAACACAUGCAAGUCGAGCGCGAAAGUUCUUCGGAAUGAGUAAAGCGGCGGACGGGUGAGUAAUACAUGGGAAUCUGCCUGGUAGCGGGGGACAACGUUUCGAAAGGAACGCUAAUACCGCAUACGCCCUACGGGGGAAAGGGGGGAUCUUCGGACCUCUCGCUAUCUGAUGAGCCCAU